rnacentral:piRNA from 1 species
UUAUGAAUUUUACCGAGUUGG